GAACUUGGUGAUCGGUCUAUGACAUCUGCCACCCCCCUCACUGAUCCCCAGGGUUGACUCAGCCCAUUUGGCGGGCGAAGGCUAUCCCGUCGCUGUCUCACUGCCCCAUGUGCAUCCCUCCAGAAGCUGCGGCCGUCAAAAGGGAGGACCAUGCCUGAAAGAGGAGGCCCAUUCUUCCGUCGAGGAUAUGCAAGUGGCUAGUCUCCCCUGCUCUGAAGAAGUUCUCAAGGUCCAUUUGUAGGACAACGUAGGGUAAUCACACCUUCAAGACUCCAGACACAUCCAGAUGAGGUACUACGUGUAGUCGUCUGCUAAUCGU
rfam:Mustela putorius furo unplaced genomic scaffold scaffold00094, whole genome shotgun sequence.